rnacentral:rRNA from 1 species
GACGAACGCUGGCGGCGUGCUUAACACAUGCAAGUCGAACGGUAAGGCCCUUCGGGGUACACGAGUGGCGAACGGGUGAGUAACACGUGGGUGAUCUGCCCUGCACUUCGGGAUAAGCCUGGGAAACUGGGUCUAAUACCGGAUAGGACUCCGGACUGCAUGGUCUGGGGUGGAAAGCUUUUACGGUGUGGGAUGGGCCCGCGGCCUACCAGCUUGUUGGUGGGGUGAUGGCCUACCAAGGCGACGACGGGUAGCCGGCCUGAGAGGGUGACCGGCCACACUGGGACUGAGAUAUGGCCCAGACUCCUACGGGAGGCAGCAGUGGGGAAUAUUGCACAAUGGGCGCAAGCCUGAUGCAGCGACGCCGCGUGAGGGAUGACGGCCUUCGGGUUGUAACCUCUUUCAGCAUCGACGAAGCGAAAGUGACGGUAGGUGCAGAAGAAGGACCGGCCAACUACGUGCCAGCCGCCGCCGUAA